AGCACUUUGGCAGUAAGCCUAAGGAAUUUAUUACCAAUACCAUCAGGGCCCGUCGCUUUGCGAACGUCUAGAGAAAGAAGUAUAUCUUCAACAUCUCUCUGGGUUAGUUCAAUGUUUGCUAAACAGUUCAAUGAUUUACUACAUAAGGGUGGGAGGGAACGUUCUGUAUCUUCAACCGUAGAUUGGGCAACGAAAAAAUCGUUAAAGAUAUUAGCUAUAGAUGUAGGAUCAUCAUAAAUGACAUUUUCAUGGGAAAUGGAAGGAAACGAUGUUGAUUUAUCUUUUUUCUUCAGAUAGUAUUUAAUAAGCUGCCACCAUUUCUUAUUAUGACUCUGUUCGUUUAUCAUACUAUCUAAUUAUAAAAAGUACCUUUCUUUCGCUUUUUUAAUUUCUGACACUACCUUAUUCCUUGUGGUUCUAAAAACUUCGCAGUCAGAGGAAUGAGUGAGUUUAGUUUUACUCCGCACUCA